rnacentral:rRNA from 1 species
CACGUAGGGGGCAAGCGUUGUCCGGAUUUAUUGGGCGUAAAGAGCUCGUAGGCGGCUUUGCAAGUCGGGUGUGAAAGCCCUCAGCUCAACUGAGGAAGUGCGCCCGAAACUGCAGAGCUUGAGUGCCGGAGAGGGUGGCGGAAUUCCCCAAGUAGAGGUGAAAUUCGUAGAUAUGGGGAGGAACACCGGUGGCGAAGGCGGCCACCUGGACGGUAACUGACGCUGAGACGCGAAAGCGUGGGGAGCAAACAGG